rnacentral:rRNA from 1 species
GCUUAACACAUGCAAGUCGAGCGAGAAUCGUUUUGUUGAAGGCUUCGGUCCGAUGCAGAAUGAGGAAAGCGGCGAACGGGUGAGUAACGCGUGGGCAACCUGGCCUUAAGAAGAGGAUAGCCCCCGGAAACGGGGAGUAAUACUUUAUGAGAAUAGAAAAGGGCAUCCUGUUUCUAUUCAAAGCGCAAGCGCUUAAGGAUGGGCCCGCGUAUCAUUAGCUAGUUGGUGAGAUAACAGCCCACUAAGGCAACGAUGAUUAGCCGGUCUGAGAGGGCGAACGGCCACAUUGGAACUGAGAGACGGUCCAAACUCCUACGGGAGGCAGCAGUGGGGAAUAUUGCGCAAUGGAGAAGAACUCUGACGCAGCAAUACCGCGUGAGCGAAGAAGGUCUUCGGAUCGUAAAGCUCUGUUAUCAGGGAAGAAGAAAAUGACGGUACCUGAUGAGCAAGUCCCGGCUAACUACGUGCCAGCAGCCGCGGUAA